CCUAACGGUUAAUACCCGUUAGCGAUGACAUUAGCUGCAGAAUAAGCACCGGCUAACUCUGUGCCAGCAGCCGCGGUAAUACAGAGGGUGCAAGCGUUAAUCGGAAUUACUGGGCGUAAAGCGAGCGUAGGUGGCUUGAUAAGUCAGAUGUGAAAUCCCCGGGCUUAACCUGGGAACUGCAUCUGAUACUGUUAGGCUAGAAUAGGUGAGAGGAAGGUAGAAUUCCAGGUGUAGCGGUGAGAUGCGUAGAGAUCUGAAGGAAUACCGAUGGCGAAGGCAGCUUCCUGGCAUCAUACUGACACUGAGGCUCGAAAGCGUGGGUAGCAAACAGGAUUAGAUACCCUGGUAGUCCGCGCCGUAAACGAUGUC
rnacentral:rRNA from 1 species